AUGGCGGCGGCGGCGGGCCUCCACCAAGACGUUCUCGCCCGUAUCUUGCUCCUCCUGUCGUGCAUCGUGGACCGCGUCAGGGCGUCCGCGGUCAACAAGCACUGGCGGCGGGUCUCGCUGCAGAAUCCGCCCCCGCUGCCGCGCCUCCUCAGGCCAUCCACGGCCCGGACCGAGAGCUACCGGAUCUUCGGCGGCUUCGUCGAUCUGCACCCGUCCCUCUCUGACGAGGGCCGCGGGCCGCGUUUCUGCGGGUCUGCUCCGGGCGGCUGGUUCGUGAUGUCAUCCCAGCCCUGGCGCGGCCACGCGCUCCUGAAUCUCCGCACCGGCGAGCGCGUCGCCCUGCCGGAGAGGGUGCGCAUCCCACUCGAGUUCGGCCUCGGCGUCAUCACGUGCCCCAUGAUGAUCCGCGCAGCCGUCAUGUCCUCGGCGCCGCCGUCUGGCGCCUGCUUGGUCGCUGCGGUAACGUCUAGCCAGACCAACCUGGCGUUCUGGCGGCCAGGCAUGGAAUGCUGGUUGUCGGCGCCGGCGGUAGGGAGGUUUGUGCGCAACGCCGAAGACAUCACUUACCACGACGGAUGGUUCUGCGCCGUUGAAUCAGAUGAUGACCUCGUCUGCUACAAGCCGGAAAUCGCCCCUGCUGAAGACGGCGCCCCUUCGCUGACCAUUCGACAUCACGCCUACAAUCUCCAUGUCCAUGGUCACCGGACGGCACCCGGGGAGAUCGUCUCCCGCUACCUCCUGCCCUCCGCAUCCGGUGCCGAUCUGCUGAUGAAGAGCGGGCAGGUGCUCUUCGUCGGCCGGGCCUGCUCCAAGGCCUUCUACACGGGGCACACCGGCGGCCCGGGCUAUAUCUACUUCCUCGACGACGUCUACACCGGUGGUCCGCACAGUGUCGCCCAGCAGAACGAGUAUCCCUGCGUCGACGCCGGCGGGUGGCGUUACUCAGUCCCCGACGAGAUCCAGCGCUGCCUUCCAUGGUUGCCCCCCUCGGACACCUCGCCAUGCAUUUGGUACCACCAUUAA
rnacentral:rRNA from 1 species